rnacentral:lncRNA from 12 species
UUGACUCUUGGGAAAAGCAAAACUAGUGCCCUCUGAUGCCUUUAUGCAUUAUGAGAUUUGGACCUGACUACAGAUGAUUAUACACUGAUAAAUACUGCCACCAAUGCUCCAGUUGUACUGCUGGCCUUCACUGUCGUGUUCAACACUGAGGAAAGCCUGAACACUGAAGUACUUUCUGCUGUGUGUUGGAAAAACUAGAAUGGAGCAGCAAGAGCGCAGCAGCAUCCCACCACCAGCCACGGGGCUGUCUCUAAAACAGGACUGGACUGAACAGUACCAUGGGCAAGAGCCACAAGAAGAGGGGGAGUUUGCCACAACCUGUUGGAGCCCUGAUGCAUGAGUGCUGUUUAAUGUGAAUUGCAGCCUCAGCCACCUGCUUGCCAGGGCAACUGUGCAAGGAGACAGCCU